UAAACAACUACUCACUAAUCAUCUACAAUUGUCUAGGCAAUGAGGCAAAUGGAAAGACAUUAAGAAGCCAACAGUGAAUCAGCGACACAUAUGACAGCAGGAAAUAAGGUUCCUAGGAUGAGGAAAGACCUGAUGGAGGCAGAUGGAAAUCAGUACUUUCUGAGAAAGAACAGCAGUGGAAAAGGAUUGCCCAUUUCAUUUAUGCAGAAGGUGGAGCCACAGGAGGGAGAUCUGGAACAUUCCCAGCCUCUUGGAUGCAACAACUCAGUCUGCUGCUGGGGGCUGCUCUGCACUCCCGGUUUCACAAAAGACAUCAUCGAGAGAAGAAUUGUGAUGCCCUCAGCAAGACAUGAGUACACAGCUUGGAGCAGCCUCCUCUACCACAAAGCUACUACCAGAGUCAUCUAAAGAGUUUCUCUGAUAUAAAAAUAAAAUGUAUGAAGAACAAGCUUCUAAAUAUCUU
rnacentral:lncRNA from 1 species